AGUCUCGCGGUGUCAGACACAUCAGAUUGCAAAUCUCAAGAUGCAGGCAAACCCCCUGCCGGGGCUU
rnacentral:tRNA from 1 species